UUGUUAGACGGGCUAGGUUUUUUCGCGCAUGCGCGUAUUACCGUGACGUAACCAUGACGACUACAGUAACGUAUGAUGUUUGCGCGCGCAACUACGGACCAAGACCCUGGACCACGGAGUUUUGGCGGAAUCGCAGGAAACAGAUAAAUUGAACAAAAAUUAAACAGAGGGGGAAAUCAGGACCCCAUUUCAUGCGAGUGACUACUUCAUUAAUACUACAUUCAAUGCGCAUGCGCG